rnacentral:rRNA from 1 species
AGCCUGAUGCAGCACGCCGCGUGAGGGACGACGGCCUUCGGGUUGUAAACCUCUUUUAGCAGGGAAGAAGCGAAAGUGACGGUACCUGCAGAAAAAGCACCGGCUAACUACGUGCCAGCAGCCGCGGUAAUACGUAGGGUGCGAGCGUUGUCCGGAAUUAUUGGGCGUAAAGAGCUCGUAGGCGGUCUGUCGCGUCUGCUGUGAAAACCCGAGGCUCAACCUCGGGCCUGCAGUGGGUACGGGCAGACUAGAGUGCGGUAGGGGAGAUUGGAAUUCCUGGUGUAGCGGUGGAAUGCGCAGAUAUCAGGAGGAACACCGAUGGCGAAGGCAGAUCUCUGGGCCGUUACUGACGCUGAGGAGCGAAAGCGUGGGGAGCAAACAGGCUUAGAUACCCUGGUAGUCCACGCCGUAAACGUUGGGAACUAGAUGUGGGGACCAUUCCACGGUCUCCGUGUCGUAGCUAACGCAUUAAGUUCCCCGCCUGGGGAGUACGGCCGCAAGGCUAAAACUCAAAGGAAUUGACGGGGGCCCGCACAAGCGGCGGAGCAUGCGGAUUAAUUCGAUGCAACGCGAAGAACCUUACCAAGGCUUGACAUAUACGAGAACGCA